UACGUAGGUGGCAAGCGUUGUCCGGAUUUACUGGGCGUAAAGGGCGUGCAGGCGGUCUGUUAAGUGCAGGGUGAAAGCCCCCGGCUCAACUGGGGAGGGUCACGCGAUACUGAUCGACUCGAAGGCAGGAGAGGGAAGUGGAAUUCCCGGUGUAGUGGUGAAAUGCGUAGAUAUCGGGAGGAACACCAGUGGCGAAGGCGACUUCCUGGCCUGUUCUUGACGCUGAGGCGCGAAAGCUAGGGGAGCAAACGGG
rnacentral:rRNA from 1 species